rnacentral:misc_RNA from 1 species
AACUUUUGCCAACGGAUCACUUGGUUCUGGCAUCGAUGAAGAACGCAGCGAAAUGCGAUAAGUAAUGUGAAUUGCAGAAUUCAGUGAAUCAUCGAAUCUUUGAACGCACAUUGCGCCCGCCAGUAUUCUGGCGGGCAUGCCUGUCCGAGCGUCAUUUCAACCAUCAAGCCCCGGGCUUGUGUUGGGGACCUGCGUCUGACGCAGGCCCUGAAAACCAGUGGCGGGCUCGCUGUCCACACCGAGCGUAGUAACUAACCUCGCUAUGGAGUGGCGCGGGCGCCUGCCGUAAACCCCCCAAUUUUACAAGGUUGACCUCGGAUCAGGUAGGAAUACCCGCUGAACUUAAGCAUAUCAAUAAGCGGAGGCU